GAUGAACGCUGGCGGCGUGCCUAAUACAUGCAAGUCGAGCGAACAGACGAGGAGCUUGCUCCUCUGACGUUAGCGGCGGACUGGUGAGUAACACGUGGAUAACCUACCUAUAAGACUGGGAUAACUUCGGGAAACCGGAGCUAAUACCGGAUAAUAUAUUGAACCGCAUGGUUCAAUAGUGAAAGACGGUUUUGCUGUCACUUAUAGAUGGAUCCGCGCCGCAUUAGCUAGUUGGUAAGGUAACGGCUUACCAAGGCAACGAUGCGUAGCCGACCUGAGAGGGUGAUCGGCCACACUGGAACUGAGACACGGUCCAGACUCCUACGGGAGGCAGCAGUAGGGAAUCUUCCGCAAUGGGCGAAAGCGUGACGGAGCAACGCCGCGUGAGUGAUGAAGGUCUUCGGAUCGUAAAACUCUGUUAUUAGGGAAGAACAAAUGUGUAAGUAACUAUGCACGUCUUGACGGUACCUAUUCAGAAAGCCACGGCUAACUACGUG
rnacentral:rRNA from 1 species